UUUCUGCUAUUUCUCAAGUUCAUCAUCUGCAGUCUCCUGGGAAUGUGUAGUAUGUUCGUUUCUGAUUUUUGCGGGUCUUUCUUGGUAUCGUAAAACAAAACAUCUUACUUGCAGGGUACCCGAAAGUCGAAGGCUAUCCUCCUCCAGGGUAUCCGGUGCAGGGUUACGCGCCACAGGGGUAUCCUCCACAGGGAUAUCCUCCGCAGCAAGGAUAUGGCCAGCCGGCCCAGCCCUACUACGAGGAGCAGCGCCGCCGGAAGGACACCGGCUUUCUUGAAGGAUGCUUAGCGGCACUUUGCUGUUGCUGUCUGCUGGAUGCGGUUUUCUGAGGUGGGCUCGAGGCAACGGCGCGGAUUUAGGGAAAAGAUCGUUCUGGUUUCCAUCUCUGCUGGUUGGACGGCGGAGGAGUUAGUGUCGGGAACUAUCAGGAUGAUUUGGCUGUGAUGUCUUUAUUUAUUGAACGAUCUCUGUUGAAUCGUUGAUGUAUAUAUCUGGAGACUAUCGUUACUUUUCUUAUUCACGGAUUAUGAGACAUGUGCCUUUUCUGAGCUCGUUUGAUU